UCCCUCGUAGCUCAGUUGGUAAAGAAUCUACCUGCAAUGCAGGAGACCCAGGUUCGAUUCCUGGGUUGGGAA
rnacentral:tRNA from 1 species